rnacentral:rRNA from 1 species
UACGUAGGGGGCAAGCGUUGUCCGGAUUUAUUGGGCGUAAAGGGCGCGUAGGCGGCUUGACAAGUCAAAGGUGAAAUCCCUCGGCUCAACUGAGGAACUGCCUUUGAUACUGUGGGUCUUGAGGGAGGUAGGGGCGUGCGGAACUUCCGGUGGAGCGGUGAAAUGCGUAGAUAUCUGGAGGAACACCGGUGGCGAAGGCGGCAUCCUGGACCGGCAUUGACGCUGAUGAGCGAAAGCCAGGGGAGCAAACGGG